UGCCAGACUCCUACGGGAGGCAGCAGUGGGGAAUAUUGCACAAUGGGGGGAACCCUGAUGCAGCGACGCCGCGUGGGUGAAGGAGCACCUCGGUGCGUAAAGCCCUAUCGGCAGGGAAGAAACAGACGGUACCUGACUAAGAAGCCCCGGCUAACUACGUGCCAGCAGCCGCGGUAAUACGUAGGGGGCAAGCGUUAUCCGGAUUUACUGGGUGUAAAGGGAGCGUAGACGGCUGCGCAAGUCAGAAGUGAAAGCCCGGGGCUCAACCGCGGGACUGCUUUUGAAACUGUGUAGCUAGAGUGCAGGAGAGGUAAGUGGAAUUCCUAGUGUAGCGGUGAAAUGCGUAGAUAUUAGGAGGAACACCGGUGGCGAAGGCGGCUUACUGGACUGUAACUGACGUUGAGGCUCGAAAGCGUGGGGAGCAAACAGGAUUAGAUACCCGAGUACA
rnacentral:rRNA from 1 species